AGGCUACCGCUAUUGGAAUCCGAUUAAGCCAUGCAAGUCGAGAGAUUUCGGAUCUCGGCAGACGUCUCAGUAACACGUGGAUAAUCUACCCUUGAGUGGGGAUAAGCUUGGAAACCUGAGUAUAAUACCCCAUAGGUCUAGGAUGCUGGAAUGCUUCUAGGCUGAAAGCUCCGGCGCUCAAGGAUGAAUCUGCGGCCUAUCAGGCAGUAGUGGGUGUAACGGACCCACUAACCUUCGACGGGUACGGGCCUUGAGAGAGGUUGCCCGGAGUUGGAUUCUGAGACACGAGUCCAGGCCCUACGGGGUGCAGCAGGCGCGAAAACUUCACAAUGUGGGAAACCACGAUGAGGGGAUUCCAAGUGCCAGCACAAUGUGUUGGCUGUUCGGGUGCCUAAAAAGCUGGUGAAGUAAGGGCCGGGUAAGACGGGUGCCAGCCGCCGCGAUAAUACCCGCGGCCCGAGUGGUGGCCAUUGUUAUUGAGCCUAAAGCGUUCGUAGCCGGUUUCGUAAAUUUCUGGGUAAAUCGGACAGCUUAACUGUCCGAAUUCCGGAAAGACUGCGAAACUUGGGACCGGAGGAGGUUGGAGGUACUCCUGGGGUAGGGGUGAAAUCCUGUAAUCCUGGGGGGACCACCAGUGGCGAAGGCGUCCAACCAAAACGGCUCCGACGGUAAGGGACGAAGCCCUGGGGCGCAAACGGGAUUAGAUACCCCGGUAGUCCAGGGUGUAAACGCUGCAGGCUUGGUGUUGGGGGUCCUACGAGGGCGCCCAGUGCCGGAGAGAAGUUGUUAAGCCUGCCUGCUUGCGGGAGUACGUCCGCAAGGAUGAAACUUAAAGGAAUUGGCGGGGGAGCACAGCAACGGGUGGAGCGUGCGGUUCAAUUGGAUUCAACGCCGUAAAACUCACCGGGAGCGACGCUUACAUGAAGGCCAGGUUGAUGACCUUGCCUGAUUUUCCGAGAGGUGGUGCAUGGCCGUCGUCAGUCGUACGUAAGCCGUCUGUAAGUC
rnacentral:rRNA from 1 species